rnacentral:rRNA from 2 species
GAACUCUGGUAUUGAUUGGUGCUUGCAUCAUGAUUUACAUUUGAGUGAGUGGCGAACUGGUGAGUAACACGUGGGAAACCUGCCCAGAAGCGGGGGAUAACACCUGGAAACAGAUGCUAAUACCGCAUAACAACUUGGACCGCAUGGUCCGAGCUUGAAAGAUGGCUUCGGCUAUCACUUUUGGAUGGUCCCGCGGCGUAUUAGCUAGAUGGUGGGGUAACGGCUCACCAUGGCAAUGAUACGUAGCCGACCUGAGAGGGUAAUCGGCCACAUUGGGACUGAGACACGGCCCAAACUCCUACGGGAGGCAGCAGUAGGGAAUCUUCCACAAUGGACGAAAGUCUGAUGGAGCAACGCCGCGUGAGUGAAGAAGGGUUUCGGCUCGUAAAACUCUGUUGUUAAAGAAGAACAUAUCUGAGAGUAACUGUUCAGGUAUUGACGGUAUUUAACCAGAAAGCCACGGCUAACUACGUGCCAGCAGCCGCGGUAAUACGUAGGUGGCAAGCGUUGUCCGGAUUUAUUGGGCGUAAAGCGAGCGCAGGCGGUUUUUUAAGUCUGAUGUGAAAGCCUUCGGCUCAACCGAAGAAGUGCAUCGGAAACUGGGAAACUUGAGUGCAGAAGAGGACAGUGGAACUCCAUGUGUAGCGGUGAAAUGCGUAGAUAUAUGGAAGAACACCAGUGGCGAAGGCGGCUGUCUGGUCUGUAACUGACGCUGAGGCUCGAAAGUAUGGGUAGCAAACAGGAUUAGAUACCCUGGUAGUCCAUACCGUAAACGAUGAAUGCUAAGUGUUGGAGGGUUUCCGCCCUUCAGUGCUGCAGCUAACGCAUUAAGCAUUCCGCCUGGGGAGUACGGCCGCAAGGCUGAAACUCAAAGGAAUUGACGGGGGCCCGCACAAGCGGUGGAGCAUGUGGUUUAAUUCGAAGCUACGCGAAGAACCUUACCAGGUCUUGACAUACUAUGCAAAUCUAAGAGAUUAGACGUUCCCUUCGGGGACAUGGAUACAGGUGGUGCAUGGUUGUCGUCAGCUCGUGUCGUGAGAUGUUGGGUUAAGUCCCGCAACGAGCGCAACCCUUAUUAUCAGUUGCCAGCAUUAAGUUGGGCACUCUGGUGAGACUGCCGGUGACAAACCGGAGGAAGGUGGGGAUGACGUCAAAUCAUCAUGCCCCUUAUGACCUGGGCUACACACGUGCUACAAUGGAUGGUACAACGAGUUGCGAACUCGCGAGAGUAAGCUAAUCUCUUAAAGCCAUUCUCAGUUCGGAUUGUAGGCUGCAACUCGCCUACAU